rnacentral:rRNA from 1 species
AGUGGGGGAUAACACAUCGAAAGAUGUGCUAAUACCGCAUAUGCCCUGAGGGGGAAAGGCGGGGAUCGCAAGACCUGUCGUUUUCGGAGUGGCCGAUAUCGGAUUAGCUAGUUGGUGGGGUAAAGGCCCACCAAGGCGACGAUCCGUAGCUGGUCUGAGAGGACGACCAGCCACACUGGGACUGAGACACGGCCCAGACUCCUACGGGAGGCAGCAGUGGGGAAUUUUGGACAAUGGGGGCAACCCUGAUCCAGCCAUACCGCGUGAGUGAAGAAGGCCUUCGGGUUGUAAAGCUCUUUCGGCAGGAAAGAAAUCGCCAUCUCUAACAUAGGUGGUGGAUGACGGUACCUGAAGAAGAAGCACCGGCUAACUACGUGCCAGCAGCCGCGGUAAUACGUAGGGUGCGAGCGUUAAUCGGAAUUACUGGGCGUAAAGCGUGCGCAGGCGGCUUUUUAAGCCAGAUGUGAAAUCCCCGGGCUUAACCUGGGAACUGCAUUUGGAACUGGAAGGCUAGAGUGUAGCAGAGGGGGGUAGAAUUCCA